rnacentral:lncRNA from 1 species
CAUGGGGGUCCCCUGACUGAACGACUGUUCCCACCUUCUGUUUACCCUUAUUUCACACGUUCCUGCUUUAUUACCUUGUUAUUUUAUUAGCGUAAGGCAUGAAUAUUGUAACCGGGGCCCAUACAUGCUAAGAGUAAGCUUAGAUAAGUCCCGUUUGUCCAUUUCCCGACUCGACAGAAUGUCAACAUUCCGAUCGCCGCCAUUUGCAUCACUAUGUUUAUUGACGUCAGUGACCUAAUGACCUGAGAUCAGCAUCCAAUCAGCAUAACGUAAUUUGCCCACCAUCUCCAUAGGGGCACGAG